rnacentral:rRNA from 1 species
CCUACGGGAGGCAGCAGUGAGGAAUAUUGGUCAAUGGGCGCGAGCCUGAACCAGCCAAGUCGCGUGAGGGAAGACGGUCCUAUGGAUUGUAAACCUCUUUUGUCGGGGAGCAAAAGACGCCACGCGUGGCGUUCCGAGAGUACCCGAAGAAAAAGCAUCGGCUAACUCCGUGCCCGCCGCCGCGGUAAUACGGAGGAUGCGAGCUUUAUCCGGAUUUAUUGGGUUUAAAGGGUGCGCAGGCGGAAGAUCAAGUCAGCGGUAAAAUUGAGGGGCUCAACCUCUUCGAGCCGUUGAAACGGGUUGGCUUGAGUGAGUGAGAAGUAUGCGGAAUGCGUGGUGUAGCGGUGAAAUGCAUAGAUAUCGCGAAGAACUCCGAUUGCGAAGGCAGCAUACCGGCGCUCAACUGACGCUCAUGCACGAAAGUGUGGGUAUCGAACAGGAUUAGAUACCCGAGUAGUC